GGGGUGAAGACCGGCCGCAGUCCGAACUGUGUCCAGGAAGUGGCGCAGGCCAAUCAGGAGUGUCCUGUGCUGUUGGCGCUCUGCCACGCUCUAAGGGAACCUGGUUCUCCAGACUCUGGCAGGCCGAGUGAGGUUCCAACGAAGACUGAGGACUACUGGCUCUCUAGAAAUCUUCCUGACUUCAGCAGCAGAUUGGGACUGCUGAGGCUUCAGGUUUCAUGGACUGAGCAGCUACCAGGUUUUCAGUCUCUCCAGCAUGCAGAUAGCCAUCAUUGAACUACCCAACUCUUAGCAUAUAAGUCAAUUUAACAAAUCCCCCCUUUAAAAAUAUGAUUUUAUUUAUAUUUUUGUUUUA